UACGGGGGGGAGCAAGCGUUGUUCGGAUUUACUGGGCGUAAAGGGCGCGUAGGCGAUCAGCACAAGUCAGUUGUGAAAUCUCCGGGCUUAACUCGGAAAGGUCAACUGAUACUGUGCGACUAGAGUGCGGAAGGGGCAACUGGAAUUCUCGGUGUAGCGGUGAAAUGCGUAGAUAUCGAGAGGAACACCUGCGGCGAAGGCGGGUUGCUGGGCCGACACGUGACGCUGAUGCGCGAAAGCCAGGGGAGCGAACGGGG
rnacentral:rRNA from 1 species